rnacentral:rRNA from 1 species
UACGUAGGCAGCAAGCGUUGUUCGGAGUUACUGGGCGUAAAGGGUGUGUAGGCGGUUCGUUAAGUUCGUUGUGAAAGCCCCGGGCUUAACCUGGGAAUGGCAUUUGGGACUGCAAGGCUGGAGUGUGGCAGAGGAGACUGGAAUUCCUGGUGUAGCAGUGAAAUGCGUAGAUAUCAGGAGGAAUACCGAUGGCGAAGGCAGGUCUCUGGGCUGACACUGACGCUCAUGCACGAAAGCGUGGGGAGCAAACAGG